AACUGCGAAUAGUGAUGAAGAUCACAUUUCGCACCUGUUCGUGGUGAUUCGCAAUGAUCACGAAUCAGUUUUUUCACGUUUCGCGUUUCGCGCCCGAUCUCUCGACCAGGCGGUUUUUUGACGAAACGUCAAGGGAUUCGCGAUUCGUUCACGAAUUUUCAAGUUCGUUCUUGUCAAACUGUACAUUAUAUCGACGAAAUACGAAUAGUGUGUAGAGUACAAAUUCGAGGUGUUUCGUAUUUCAUCAUUUUUAUCGCGAAUCCUUCACGAAUCUCAAACUGCGAACCACGUAACGCGAACUCCGCAUAGUCUGGUGCCGGCAAUGAGUCAACGUCGUGUAGCUUGUUUACCUUCUUCACCAUUGGAACGCAAUGCUCAUCAACAUCUUCGCGAAAAACUACGACAGUUAACGCAAAUAUGUGCCUAUGGCUGCGCGAAUUCCAAUGAUUUUUCUAUCAUAUAAGAAAAUCAAUUCGUAUGUACAAAACAUCAUUCGAAAUCGGUACCUCGUUGAAGCUGGAACUCGGUUUUUUAAUUCGUACAUAGUAUACCUAUUGCUGUAAUAAGCACGUUGAAUUCGAAGUCAUUCGAAAAGCUCGACAUCGUAUAUAAAAAUGCUCAUCUUCAAUUACUUGAAAAAGUUUCUUCUCUUGGCUGCGUUAGGUCUUCUCGCAGUCACAUAUGUCACUGCCCCGGGCGUGCCCGGCGGAGUGAAAGCAGUCAUAGAUGAAGAAAGACGCCUUAACGACGACGCGCAAGACUGAAUGAGAAUCGUUCACGGAUGAAUAAUAUGGCAACGCUGAAUUCUUCGAUUUGAUUUUUCACCGCUGUAUAUAAUUUUUCCAAUGGAAUGUUGCAUCGCAUCAUAAUUUCUAAUAAUCAUUUAAUUGUAACGAAUAUUUUAAUUUAUUUUAAGGCAAUUGUAUCCCUAUUUCGGAAUUAAUUUAAGUAUACGUUAGUUUGUAAGUCAAUAGCAUCCACAAUACAUCACUUAGCAUCGCA